GUGUUAUGUAAUAGUGGUAUAUAGUUGGUGGUAUGUAAUAGUGGUAUAUAGAUGGUGGUAUAUAAUAGUGGUAUAUAGAUGGUAGAUAGUGUUAUGUAAUAGUGGUAUAUAGUUGGUGGUUUGUAAUAGUGGUAUAUAGAUGGUGGUAUAUAGAUGGUGGUAUGUAAUAGUGAUAUAUAGAUGUUAGUUGGUGGUAUGUAUUAGUGGUAUAUAGAUGGUGGUAUGUAAUAGUGGUAUAUAGAAGGUGGUGUGUAAUAGUGGUAUAUAGAUGUUAGUUGGUGGUAUUUAAUAGUGGUAUAUAGUUGGUGGUGUGUAAUAGUGGUAUAUAGAUGUUAG
ensembl:lncRNA